rnacentral:rRNA from 1 species
AUUGAACGCUGGCGGCAUGCCUUACACAUGCAAGUCGAACGGCAGCAUGAUCUAUCUUUCUAGAUUGAUGUCGAGUGUCGUCCGGGUGUGUAAUACAUCUGAACGUGCCCUGUAUUGGGUGUUAACUAGUCGAAAUAUUAGCUAAUACCUCAUACGACCUGAGGGUGAAAGUGGUGGACCGCAAGUCCUCAUGCUUUAUUAUCUGCCGAUGUCUGAUUAGCUAGUUGGUGAGGUAAAGUCUCACCAAGGCUACGAUCAGUACCUGGUCUGAGAGUACGAUCAGCCACACGGGGACUGAGACACGGAACAGACUACUACGGGAGGCAGCAGUGGGGAAUUUUGGACAAUGGGCGAAAGCAUGAUAAAGCAAGGCCGCGUGUGAGAAGAAGGCCUUCGGGUUGUAAAGAACUUUUGUCAGGAAAGAAAUGGAGCUGGUUAAUACCUGGGGUCGAUGACGGUACCGGAAGAAUAAGGACCGGCUAACUACGUG